rnacentral:rRNA from 1 species
UACAGAGGGGGCAAGCGUUGUUCGGAAUUACUGGGCGUAAAGGGCGCGUAGGCGGCCUUCUAAGUCGAACGUGAAAUCCCCCGGGCUCAACCCGGGAACUGCGUCCGAUACUGGAAGGCUUGAAUCCGGGAGAGGGAUGUGGAAUUCCAGGUGUAGCGGUGAAAUGCGUAGAUAUCUGGAGGAACACCGGUGGCGAAGGCGACAUCCUGGACCGGUAUUGACGCUGA